AGCAGUAAUUUAAAUCCUUUCCAAAUCCCUCCGAGCUUUCAGUUAAAUCCACAACUGAUCAUUUUGUUGGCCCGGUGUUCCUACUCUGUUUGGUGUAACAGUACAAUGAAAGAAAAGAUUUGGU
rnacentral:lncRNA from 1 species